GUAACUACAGUAUAAAUGUAUAUUUGACUUCCAAUCAAAAGGUUCUUAAAAGAUAGUUAUA
rnacentral:tRNA from 1 species